UACGAAGGGGGGCUAGCGUUGCUCGGAAUCACUGGGCGUAAAGCGCACGUAGGCGGGUCUUUAAGUCAGGGGUGAAAUCCUGGAGCUCAACUCCAGAACUGCCUUUGAUACUGAGGAUCUCGAGUCCGGGAGAGGUGAGUGGAACUCCGAGUGUAGAGGUGAAAUUCGUAGAUAUUCGGAAGAACACCAGUGGCGAAGGCGGCUCACUGGCCCGGUACUGACGCUGAGACUCGAAAGCGUGGGGAGCGAACAGGG
rnacentral:rRNA from 1 species